CAUUGAGAUCAAGCAUGGCGACUGCUUGGAUGCUCACCACACUUGCUGCAGGCUGCAGCAGCACCACAGUGAGCGUGGUACACGUAGGAAGGGCUGAGCCUUAGGCACCUGUGGGUAGUCUGGGUUAAACUUGGGCAGACUGGGCAGAGCAGAGUGUGAGUCCACACUACGUGUUGACCACCCAUGUGAUUCCUCUCAUGGGGUGUUUUGGAGCUUAGAUUGAGCAGAGUCUUGGAGCCGUACUUAUCAGGUGGACCUGAGUGUCCUCAAUGAGCUUGACUCAGACUCUGCCCUACUGUGUCUUGGUCAAGUUUCACUCUAGCUGGGAAACCUGAGUUGAUUUAAAACGAACUAGGAUUUCUCUUGUUAGAGCUCUCUGAGAAUCUAGUUUAGCAAGGAAUUUAAGUGUAUGCAUAAGGCUGUCCCUUUUGCAGAAAGCCACUCAGGUUUAUGUAGAAGGCUUGCUAAAAUCUGUCAAACGAAGCACUGGUUGAAAUGCUUUCUUGACAAAGAGGAAUUCCUAAUUGGAGGCAUUUAGGAAUUGAAUCAUCGUAAUAAAAAAACCCUCUAUGCAAGGAGGUAGCAGUGAAAGGAGGUAAUAUAGUAUUGUCUGAACAUGUUUAUACAGGCUAUAUAUUGUGUGUUGUUAUUGUAGUUCUUCUGCAAUAUAAGCUAGCAAUUAGCAAUUAAAUUCCCAUUAUAGGAUCAUGUUGGUAAUUGAGAUAAACUGUAAAUGUGUAACUGUUUUAAACCUUUCUUUUAACUAACCGAAAUACUGUAGUACUUACAUAAUUUAGAGAUAAUAUACCCAUUAGUAGAGUUUAUGACUCAAUAAACAGCUCCCACAAGUUCAUAAAAGCCAGAACCGUAAACACCAGAACUAUUAAUGCAACAGAAAUUCUGUGCCUCCCUCUUUUCUUGGUGGUCUAGAUAGAGCAAGGGGAAAUGCUAUCUCAGAAAAAAAACAUUUAUUCUGGCUAUAUAAAUAUAAAUGAAUUGUCUUAAAAUCCAUCUGGAAAUUUCCUCUCCUCCCCAUGUCCCAGGUGGUCUGGCAAGAAUGAUGCAUUCUGCUUUUGUCUGCAGGCAAGAGCAAGAGCUCCCAUUUGAAAUCAUUUACAUGAAAGAAUUGCGUGUAAAAGCACUGGUGGUAUCCUCACCCCGCCUCUCCCUUCUGGAGAAAUGGGAACAAUAUCUUCUCUAGAGCUGGGUUUCAAUGUACUUUUUCUUUUCUUUUUUUUUUUUUUUUUAAAGGAAAAGCCUCAUCAAAGUGCCUGGACUUCACAAUUUUUUAACCUCUGCUGCUGGCAUUUUUUCCCUAUUCUGACAGCUAAGUGAAUUUUAGAGAAGAGCAUGUAUUGCUAGGAGUUUAAUACAAGCAGAGCUUUUGUAGCUCAAGCCUUUUUCAUUUGGAGUUGAGGGAAGUGAUUAAUUAAGCCAUUUGCAACAAAAAAAAUGAACCCUUUCCUUUGUCUGAAAGAGCUUUAUUUUGCAGCAUGGUAGAGCACCAUUCUGCUUAGCAACUCAUUGUGCAAUGAACCACCUCUAUCUUGUCACUUACUUUGCUGCUAACGGACUUUACUUCCUCUAUUGUUAAAAUCAUAUUGUUUGAGUUUAACAAAAUGCAUUAAGUUUUUGUCAUUGCUAGAUGACUGGGUUUGAAUGUGUGUGAAAAGCUGGAGGUACACAACAGAGCCACUGCUCUUGCCAUCCCUCUCCCAGUAGGUAACUCAUCCUGGGAAGAAACACAUGGUUUUAAUUUGUCUUGCUGUUGCAUCAUGUCUUCUGUUUUUGCCACUUUUGUGUGAGUGUUUUUUUCCAGAGUAAGGAUCUCAAGUGACUGUUGGGAUUUUUGUCUUAUCACCUCUCCACUGCUGGAUUCCUGACCUUUACGACUACGCCUACAAGGGAGUUUGGCCUUCAGGACCCCAGUAAAGCUCAUUUUCACAAAAGGGAGAAACUCAGACAUUCUGUUCUGCAGAAGCCUGGUAAGCAGUGAGCAAAUAAGUGUCUUUUGGGCUUUGAGCCAUUUGCAUAUCACUGGCCUUCCCAGUUUAUCCUGAAGUUUUAAGUUUCCAUAACAAUGGUAUCAAACAAGGAGGCACUCCCUUGGGAAUGUGCCUGCCCCUUUCCCUUUCACCCAAUGACUAACACUCAUAAUGCUCAGCAAAGUUUCACAGCCUUGCAGCAGGUUCAGAGAUGCCCCUUUUGAUUCCCUGUUGGCAACAACAUAAUGAAGAUAACCCAAGGCUCGAAGCAAUAGGAUGUUCAAAUUAGAAAGAAUCUUAAUGCAUCUUAAUGAAGCAAAAUUCCUUUCAGGAGGCAAACAGUUAUGAAGAACCUGAACUGUUGCUGCUGAGGUCCCAACAGUUUAACCAUUGAUUUCUGUGGGAAUACUUUAUGGGAAAGGGCAAUUGCUUCACUGCUUUCCCGUCCUUGCACUCCUCAACUCGUCUCAGGGUAGUCAACAUGCUUCAGCUGUAGUAGCCAGGUCCUAAGAAUGAGUCAGAUCCUGGCAGAUCCCAGCGCAAAAUGCAGUAUUGCAGAUAUGUAGGUAUGGGGGUCUGUGACGGAUCAACUUGACUCCUUAACCAAACUAGUGGUAGUUUGGUACAGGCUCCAAAGGAGGUAAAGGCCUAAACCGUAACUGAGCCAAGAACUUCUCUAGUUCCAAUCUAUUCCCUGAGAACCCAGAAAGGAGCAGAGUGACACAAUGAGCAUCCAUGCAUAUGAGCUUGGAACAUUGAUCAUGCGAUUAAUACAUGAAUAGCCAGUAGCUUUUCCAAGACUCAUUUAUCAAAGAACAAAGAAAGUUGUGAGUAUAAGGAGCCCCAUGCAUACCUUUCCCGUUGCAUGCAAUUUGACUAUGAGCCAACCACUUCAUCCCAUAAAUAUGACAGGCUAAGUGAGCCACCUUUGAGCUCUCCCUGCUGAGCAGCCUGGCUGCAUGGUGGCGAUCUCCCCUUGAGCUGGGACGCCUCUCAAGGUUGGUUCCCAAGGCAGAGAAACCUUUCACUGACAACAGAUCAUUGGACACUUUUUCUGAAAGGGUCACAGCAUUGUGAAACACGGAGGGUAUUUUACUCCUCAACGGACCCUGCUUUGAACAGCCAAAGGCUGUCUUAGCCUCUUUAGAUGCUGGACUUGACUUCAGCUGACUUUCUACCAGGAUAUGGAAAUCUUUUCAGAAUCACAAAUCUCCUCACUUGGCUUUUUGAAAUACCCAAUACUGGCUGGAGCUAUUUGAUGAUGAUCCCCAAAAUCAUGAUCCAGACCUGACGGUUUAUUUCUAUGCAGCCACUACUCUUCACUGUCUGAUCUGCUGGUAACCUGUGAAGAAAAAAAUCUAGCAGAUUGUAAAUUGCACAUCAGAUUUUCCAUGCUAUGUGUCAUAUACCGCAUGUAUUUAAUUUAUGCUAUUUAAGUUAUGUCUUCUGUAUGCCUGGACGUGCCAUGAAUGUGUUGAUGGAUGCAAUAAGAGGUCUCUCUCUUGCGCUAUACAGGCAGCAGCACCUAUGACAAUGCAGUUUUUUGUCCCUAUGCUUCACAAUCCCUGGAGAUAAAUACACUCUUCCGUGUUACCUUUGGAGUAGAUGCUAGUUGUAACCAUCUUAGACACCAUUUCUGAGGACACUAAUCCAUAACAAUACAGGAACAUUAUUUCCUGAGUUGAUAAAAAGCUUGGAAGCAGGCCAAACCCCUUUACUGAAAUAGUGCAAGUCCUCCUUAGCUUUUACUCAGCUGAUCCUCCUGAAAUACCCAAUAAAGAAUGAUUUAAACAUUCCAGCCAUGGGAAUCUUUCUGUUGGAUUUCAGCGAUAGUGACGAGGUCAAGCUUGUGUUUCUAAAGGAGCAAAAAUUGUUCCCCAUUCACUAUACAAGCAAGUACAGAAUGUCUUCUCUUGGUCUAUAAAGAUGUUUCUCUUGAACUUUCUGAUUUGAUGCUAAUGGAAUGGUUGGAUCAUCUCUUGUCACUUCUUUGCUCCAGUGUGCCAUGAGGAUUACUUAACCAGAUUUAAAGAUUAAAGAUUUAAAGAUUACUUAACCAGGAAGUUACCAGGAAGCUAACAUCCUCAGAAGGAGGCUUCCCAGCAUACUGCAGCCCCUAAACCAGAGAGCAGAGACAGCUGAACCACAAUAGCUGCUUUUGGCAUUUUAAAAUGGCCAGUGGUAAUUUUGCUUAUGAAAUGAAUUUUCUAGUUCUUUCUCACGUAGCACAGGAGACAGCCUGUCUCAGUGCAGAUUGAAUUAUUAUAAUGAAGCAGUCAUCACUUUGCUUCUAAUCUGCCCAUACUCUGAUGAGGAUUUGCCAAGUGAUAAACAGAGACAAUAGCAAAUACAGCUAAGAUAUUGGCUGGCUUCCU